CACAGCAGGCAGGGCAAGCGGGAGGACGCCGCCGGCGCCAGCAAGCACCGGCCCGGCUCGGCGCGCUCGCACUCUUCCUGCUCAAGCCUGGCGCCGGACGAGCCGGCGCGGGACGAGGACGUGUCGCAGACGCCACUCGGCAAGAGGCGGUGCGCGCGCGCCGCGGCGCCGGCCGCCGACGAGGCGCGCGGCAAGACGCCCACCAGCCAGCCCAGUCAGCAGGAGCACAGGAUCGAGUCGCCCCCCACCGGCGUGCGUGAGGCCGACAGCAGUACAAACCCCGGCGUACAGGCGUACGACAGCAACGUACCGGCCGCCCUGUACACCAGCCAGCCGUUCCCCAUACCGGCGUGAGUACACUGGCCGGACGCCGUCGGCGCCGGCCGGGCUGGCGGUCCUCCCCGCGUCAGACCGGCGCGCCUCGCUGUGCCGACCGGGCUCGCCCCGACCCGCCGCGGUCGGACACCGCAUACACCCCAGGCCAGCAUACCACCAUCGCCA